GACGAACGCUGGCGGCGUGCUUAACACAUGCAAGUCGAACGAAGAGCGAUGGAAGCUUGCUUCUAUCAAUCUUAGUGGCGAACGGGUGAGUAACGCGUAAUCAACCUGCCCUUCAGAGGGGGACAACAGUUGGAAACGACUGCUAAUACCGCAUACGAUCUAAUCUCGGCAUCGAGGAUAGAUGAAAGGUGGCCUCUACAUGUAAGCUAUCACUGAAGGAGGGGAUUGCGUCUGAUUAGCUAGUUGGAGGGGUAACGGCCCACCAAGGCGAUGAUCAGUAGCCGGUCUGAGAGGAUGAACGGCCACAUUGGGACUGAGACACGGCCCAGACUCCUACGGGAGGCAGCAGUGGGGAAUCUUCCGCAAUGGACGAAAGUCUGACGGAGCAACGCCGCGUGAGUGAUGACGGCCUUCGGGUUGGAAAGCUCUGUUAAUCGGGACGAAAGGCCUUCUUGCGAAUAGUGAGAAGGAUUGACGGUACCGGAAUAGAAAGCCACGGCUAACUACGUG
rnacentral:rRNA from 1 species